AGCUCCAAUAGCGUAUAUUAAAGUUGUUGUGGUUAAAAAGCUCGUAGUUGGAUCUCGGCAGGCUUGGGGCGGUUUGCUUGCUAGUAUUACUGCCCUAUAGUCUGUAGUUUUGCCAGAGGUUUUAGGGUGCUCUUAAUCGAGUGUCCUGGGAUGCUGGCAGGUUUACUUUGAAAAAAUUAGAGUGCUCAAAGCAGGCUUUUACGCCUGAAUAUUCGUGCAUGGAAUAAUAGAAUAGGAAGUCGUUUCUAUUUUGUUGGUUUUCGGAAAUCGACUUAAUGAUUAAUAGGGACAGUCGGGGGCAUUUGUAUUCAAACGACAGAGGUGAAAUUCUUGGACCGUUUGAAGACAAACUACUGCGAAAGCAUUUGCCAAGAAUGUUUUCAUUAAUCAAGAACGAAAG
rnacentral:rRNA from 1 species